rnacentral:rRNA from 1 species
UACGAAGGGAGCUAGCGUUGUUCGGAAUCACUGGGCGUAAAGCGCACGUAGGCGGGUCGUUAAGUCAGGGGUGAAAUCCCGGAGCUCAACUCCGGAACUGCCUUUGAUACUGGCGACCUUGAGGCUGGAAGAGGUUAGUGGAAUUCCCAGUGUAGAGGUGAAAUUCGUAGAUAUUGGGAAGAACACCAGUGGCGAAGGCGGCUAACUGGUCCAGAUCUGACGCUGAGGUGCGAAAGCGUGGGGAGCAAACAGG